UUGGCUCAGGACGAACGCUGGCGGCAGGCCUAACACAUGCAAGUCGAGCGGCAGCGGGAAAGUAGCUUGCUACUUUUGCCGGCGAGCGGCGGACGGGUGAGUAAUGCCUGGGAAAUUGCCCAGUCGAGGGGGAUAACAGUUGGAAACGACUGCUAAUACCGCAUACGCCCUACGGGGGAAAGCAGGGGACCUUCGGGCCUUGCGCGAUUGGAUAUGCCCAGGUGGGAUUAGCUAGUUGGUGAGGUAAUGGCUCACCAAGGCGACGAUCCCUAGCUGGUCUGAGAGGAUGAUCAGCCACACUGGAACUGAGACACGGUCCAGACUCCUACGGGAGGCAGCAGUAGG
rnacentral:rRNA from 1 species